rnacentral:ncRNA from 1 species
AUAAUGAUACUUCCGUUCCCGGAUUUGCCGGGGGGCGGCUCGGAGCGUUCCUCGGAGGGGUGAGAGUCCCAUGA